rnacentral:rRNA from 1 species
UGUUUGAUGUUCUAACGUUGGCCCGUUAUCCGGGUUGCGGACAGUGUCUGGUGGGUAGUUUGACUGGGGCGGUCUCCUCCUAAAGAGUAACGGAGGAGCACGAAGGUUGGCUAAUCCUGGUCGGACAUCAGGAGGUUAGUGCAAUGGCAUAAGCCAGCUUGACUGCGAGCGUGACGGCGCGAGCAGGUGCGAAAGCAGGUCAUAGUGAUCCGGUGGUUCUGAAUGGAAGGGCCAUCGCUCAACGGAUAAAAGGUACUCCGGGGAUAACAGGCUGAUACCGCCCAAGAGUUCAUAUCGACGGCGGUGUUUGGCACCUCGAUGUCGGCUCAUCACAUCCUGGGGCUGAAGUAGGUCCCAAGGGUAUGGCUGUUCGCCAUUUAAAGUGGUACGCGAGCUGGGUUUAGAACGUCGUGAGACAGUUCGGUCCCUAUCUGCCGUGGGCGCUGGAGAACUGAGGGGGGCUGCUCCUAGUACGAGAGGACCGGAGUGGACGCAUCACUGGUGUUCGGGUUGUCAUGCCAAUGGCACUGCCCGGUAGCUAAAUGCGGAAGAGAUAAGUGCUGAAAGCAUCUAAGC